AUCAAACAAACCCUUCAAUUAAAUUUGCAGUCAAAUCUCCGUGAAAUAGGCUGACCGUGCAUGUCCAACCAACCUGUAUGCCCACGUGUGUCUAAGAAUUCUACUAAGCAUAUUAAUUAAUCAAACCCCUGUUAAUUUUUAUCUUUUUCUCUUUUUUUUUCCUAUUUCCACCGUAAAACUCCUCACCGAGAACUCAAUUAGCUUCCUCUUUCAGCCUUGAAAUUGUCCAUCAUCUACCUUAUUCCUCUCAACAACUUCAGAAAAACUCACUUGAAGCAUCUGGAAUCAUAUUCAUGCUGGAACAAUUUCACAACAUAACCAAUUAGUCUCUCA
rnacentral:lncRNA from 1 species